AGAAGUGACCAGAAGACAAGAGUGUGAGCCUUCUGUUAUGCCUGGACAGGUCCACCAGAGGGCUCCUUGGUUUAGCGGUAACGCCA
ensembl:miRNA